GUGGGGAAUAUUGCGCAAUGGGGGAAACCCUGACGCAGCGACGCCGUGUGAGGGAAGAAGGCUUUCGGGUCGUAAACCUCUGUCAGAAAGGAAGAACCUCCCAAGUCCGAAUAGGGCUUGGGACUGACGGUACUUUCAAAGGAAGCACCGGCUAACUCCGUGCCAGCAGCCGCGGUAAUACGGAGGGUGCAAGCGUUAAUCGGAAUCACUGGGCGUAAAGCGCGCGUAGGCCGCUUUGUAAGUCGGACGUGAAAGCCCUCGGCGCAACCGGGGAACUGCGUUCGAUACUGCGAGGCUUGAGUCCUGGAGAGGGUGGCGGAAUUCCGGGUGUAGGAGUGAAAUCCGUAGAUAUCCGGAGGAACACCGGUGGCGAAGGCGGCCACCUGGACAGGUACUGACGCUGAGGCGCGAAAGCGUGGGGAGCAAACAGGAUUAGAAACCCUUGUAGUCC
rnacentral:rRNA from 1 species